rfam:Lactobacillus acidophilus NCFM, complete genome.
GAUUAAGCCAAUACAAAUAUCUAUAUAUCGUCGAAAUAAGGUCGACAGUUUCUACCCACUACCGUAAAUGGUGGACUAUAGGUAAACGAAAUUAAGAA